UUUUAUCGUAUUUAUAUGUAUGAAUGUCUUGCCAGCAUGUAUGUCUAUGUACCAGGUGCAUACCUGUUGCGUGAGGAAGUCAGAAGAGGGCCUCGGACCCUCCAGAAUCGAGAUGCAUAUGGUUGUGAACUACCAUAUAGGUGCUUGGAAUCAAACCCUGGUCUUCCGCAAAAGCAAUAAGUGCUGUUAACUGCUGAGCCAUCUCUCAAGCCCAAAAUUAGCUUUAAAAUAAUCAACUGUGGAAGCACAAAAUUCCACUGACAGAAAAUGGUAUUAUUCUGUUCUCUUCAUUAAGCUCUUCGUGAUAUACUUUUUGUUUUGCAAACCUGUGUAACUGGAGUCAAAUGAAUGGACAGUCUAGGAAAAAUCGUCCUCCUACUUUUGUUCUCUAUAAUAUUUUAAAAUAUAUCUGACCAAUGUGUUUAUAGUAAAUGUUUAUCUCUUGGACACAUCAAAUGUAUUCAGUUAAUACAGCAGAUUAAUGACAGAAAAGGGGUUUGUUUGUUAAAGUUUGACACAGUGGUUUGUUUUUCUGUUUUAAUUCCUGUCUUUGGAUUCUGUAGUUUUAAAAGUGCUUUUGUAUAAGUUAACCAUCAUGUAAAAUUUUAUAAUACAAGUGCUGAAUGUGUUGAAUGUCAUUUUUCCAGUAUAAUGUCAUGAAACUUCAAAUGAACACUAGGUGUGGUAUUGGACUUGUCUUGGGAUUGAUGGAAAUAUAUGUACUUAUUACAUAUAUUCAUCGACUUUAUUGAUAUGAUUAUAACACAAGAGCAAACAUUUAUUGAGCAUUAAAUGCUUGAUUGAAGUCUU
rnacentral:lncRNA from 1 species